CCUACGGGCGGCAGCAGUGGGGGAUAUUGGACAAUGGGGGGAACCCUGAUCCAGCGACGCCGCGUGAGUGAAUAAGUAUUUCGGUAUGUAAAGCUCUGUCAGCAGGGAAGAAAGAAAUGACGGUACCUGACCAAGAAGCCCCGGCUAACUACGUGCCAGCAGCCGCGGUAAUACGUAGGGGGCAAGCGUUAUCCGGAAUUACUGGGUGUAAAGGGAGGGUAGACGGUUAAGUAAGUCUGGAGGGAAAGUCCGGGGCCCAACCCCGGGACUGCUCUGGAAACUAUUGAACUUGAGUGCAGGAGAGGAAAGCGGAAUUCCUAGUGUAGCGGUGAAAUGCGUAGAUAUUAGGAGGAACACCAGUGGCGAAGGCGGCUUACUGGACUGCAACUGACGUUGAGGCACGAAAGCGUGGGGAGCGAACAGGAUUAGAUACCCGAGUAGUC
rnacentral:rRNA from 1 species